rnacentral:rRNA from 1 species
UGGGGAAUAUUGGACAAUGGGCGCAAGCCUGAUCCAGCCAUGCCGCGUGAGUGAUGAAGGCCCUAGGGUUGUAAAGCUCUUUUGUGCGGGAGGAUAAUGACGGUACCGCAAGAAUAAGCCCCGGCUAACUUCGUGCCAGCAGCCGCGGUAAUACGAAGGGGGCUAGCGUUGCUCGGAAUCACUGGGCGUAAAGGGUGCGUAGGCGGGUCUUUAAGUCAGGGGUGAAAUCCUGGAGCUCAACUCCAGAACUGCCUUUGAUACUGAGGAUCUUGAGUUCGGGAGAGUUGAGUGGAACGGCGAGUGUAGAGGUGAAAUUCGUAGAUAUUCGCAAGAACACCAGUGGCGAAGGCGGCUCACUGGCCCGAUACUGACGCUGAGGCACGAAAGCGUGGGGAGCAAACA